rnacentral:rRNA from 1 species
GGGCGCUGGAAAUUUGAGAGGAUCUGCUCCUAGUACGAGAGGACCAGAGUGGACGAACCUCUGGUGUACCGGUUGUGACGCCAGUCGCAUCGCCGGGUAGCUAUGUUCGGAAGGGAUAACCGCUGAAAGCAUCUAAGCGGGAAGCCUACCUCAAGAUAAGAUUUCCCUAGGACUUUAUGUCCUCUAAAGAGCCGUUCGAGACUAGGACGUUGAUAGGUUGGAUGUGGAAGCAUAGUGAUAUGUGAAGCUGACCAAUACUAAUUGCUCGUGAGGCUUGACUAUACAACACCCAAGCAGUUG